rnacentral:rRNA from 1 species
AUUUGCAGCCAUAUCACCCUGUAGCCCAAGACUGGUUGCCCACUGAAGCUAAGCAGGGUUGAGCCUCGUCAGUACCUGGAUUCCUUCGAAAAAGAGUGGGGGUGUAACCC